rnacentral:rRNA from 1 species
UACGUAGGGUGCAAGCGUUGUCCGGAAUUAUUGGGCGUAAAGAGCUCGUAGGCGGUUUGUCGCGUCGGCUGUGAAAACCUGGGGGCUCAACCCCGGGAGGCGGGCGGAUACUGUCGGGCUAGAGUCCGGAAGAGGCGAGCGGAAUUCCUGGUGUAGCGGUGAAAUGCGCAGAUAUCAGGAGGAACACCGGUGGCGAAGGCGGUUCUCUGGGCAUGACCUGACGCUGAGGAGCGAAAGUGUGGGGAGCGAACAGG